UUCCUAAGCAGCUGGGACUACAAGUACACGUCACCACUCCUGGCUCAGACAUUUUCUUUUGACUAUCUUCAAGUCACCCCAUCUCUUUGAAGAGUACUUUUUGAAAAUUUCGUACUUUGUUUUUUUAGAGUGACAGUCUUUUUAUUAUGUGGAGAGAAUUGCUUUGCAAAGGAGUCCAGGUCCCACCGGAAGGACCCCCUUCCAUACACCGUAGCAAUUCCGUAGCAGCCUCGACUCUCCCCUCGACGGACAGCAGAUGGCGCUGCGCUUCCCAUUUUGCCGCCUCGGUGGCGGGACAGGAAUCCAACUUUGGCAGAGCUGAGUUGAAGAUUGCAAGCGACCUAUUCCGAGCUGGGUGAGCAAAGGAAACUACGCAUUUAGAAUCACAGUUUACCUCGCUUCAUACUGAUCUGUGCUCUGGAGGACGUGCAGUUUCUGUUACAUGUGAUCCAGGGGGCUGCGUGUGUUGGAUUAACCGGGCUCAUUACGUCUUACAAAUUGCUUGUCAGGAGAAGGCAGCUCGGGGCAGGUUGAAAGACUGUUAUCAGCAGCACUCAACAAACAUCAGCGAACGGACACUCUCUUCUUCAUCAUAACCAAUUUGUAUUUAUGAAAGAUCCCUUGGUGCUCUUUAGUGGGCUGCAGUGAGAAGAUGUGAUUUGGAACUUUGAGAAGUUUGUGGUCAAGAAGGUGACCUGCAGAUAUUCAGUCAAAACUAAACAACCACAGCCACACUUCUCUGCGUUCCUGCUUCAUCCACUCAUUGUGCCCAGGGCUCCCCAGCAAUCUCUCCGCUCUUUAGUCUUUUGGUUUGUGUCUGCUUUCUUCUUCUAGGUCUGUUCCUUUGGCUAAAUUUGCAUGUGUUGACCGUGGCAAACAGAUAUAUUUAGCUUUAUUUUCUUAAAUAACUUAUAGAAAUGCUUUUUGGGUGGGAAAGUGAUGACAUUAAGUAUAAUAAUCAUGUAGUUUUCAGCUAGUUGGGAUCUUAGGGAUUAUUUAACUCAACUGAUUAAAUAAUACUGUGAGAAAGUGA
rnacentral:lncRNA from 1 species